rnacentral:rRNA from 1 species
GAUGAACGCUGGCGGCGUGCCUAAUACAUGCGAGUCGAGCGAACAGAUGAGGAGCUUGCUCCUCUGACGUUAGCGGCGGACGGGUGAGUAACACGUGGAUAACCUACCUAUAAGACUGGGAUAACUUCGGGAAACCGGAGCUAAUACCGGAUAAUAUAUUGAACCACAUGGUUCAAUAGUGAAAGACGGUUUUGCUGUCACUUAUAGAUGGAUCCGCGCCGCAUUAGCUAGUUGGUAAGGUAACGGCUUACCAAGGCAACGAUGCGUAGCCGACCUGAGAGGGUGAUCGGCCACACUGGAACUGAGACACGGUCCAGACUCCUACGGGAGGCAGCAGUAGGGAAUCUUCCGCAAUGGGCGAAAGCCUGGCGGAGCAACGCCGCGUGAGUGAUGAAGGUCUUCGGAUCGUAAAACUCUGUUAUUAGGGAAGAACAAAUGUGUAAGUAACUAUGCACGUCUUGACGGUACCUAAUCAGAAAGCCACGGCUAACUACGUG